GGGUUGAUUCAGUAACUCCUGACUGGGUGGAUCCACAUAUAUAAAGAGCAAUCUUUGUACUCUGUGCAAGCAGAGGUAUGAAAGGGAGUCCACCUCCUUGGAGUGCCAAGAACAUUCCAGUGUGCUCAGCUGCCAUCCAGCAGAGUUCAUGAACCAGCACUGAUGUGCCCCAGGCCUCGUAGUGCUGCUCUGGAUUGAGGACAACUCAGACUUUGGGAAGCAUGUUGCCCUGUGGCUAGGCCCAGCCUCCCACUAAGGACUGGUGCACAGUGUUCCAUUCUGAAGAGCUGUAACCCGUGAUUUCAGGAGCCAAGCAACAAUGGAAGGUGUGGCAAGCCCUGACCGAGCCGGGUGGGGCCUAGUGAUAUACAGCAGGGAGAAGCGGUGGCUGAAGGGCCAACUUGGGAUUAGACACCAGGCAAAGUCCUUUCUUCCCAGAUGUAUUAGUGAGGAGGCCAGCGAGUAUUUCCUGACCAAGCCUCAUUUUAACUUGCAGUCCUGGGGCACAGCCCAGUGCCUGGCACAGAGGCUUAACACGUGUCUGUGUGGGGAGAGGGGAAAGGUGGAAGUUCUCUUGACUCUGAGAGUUCUGUGUGGCCAGAGCUGCUGCAGAGGACUUCUGCGACCGACGCUCCAGCUUUGCAGAUUAGAAGCAGGUGUCUUUGAAGGCAGCCAGGAGGAGAUGUGAUUGGAAGAGCCAGGCUUGGGGAAGAGGUGAAGGGGCCAGGGCCAGGAGGAGGAGGAGGCCUUGUGGAGUCAUGGCGUGAUCCGUGUGGAGGCAGAUGCCGGGAAGCAGAGGGACACCUGAGGCAAGCGAGGCGCUUUCAUGCUGGGAUGCCCCUGCAGGGCACCGCGGCCACAGCUGCCCUCCUGGGCAGCUCACUCUUCCUGAUGUCCUCCUCUCUGGCCGUCCUCCCCCUCCUGGGCUGCUCUGGUCAAGCCUGGACUUUCAAUCUACUUCAGACGUGACCAUGACGUGCCAAUCCGAGCCUCCUGAUCCUCGUGGUUUUACAUCCUUCUCUCACAGCAAAGUGGUCUCAAGGGUGGACGUGUCACUCCCACCUGAAACCGCUCAUGAGGUCACCUGAGUUAGGAAUGAGAUCCAGAAUUGCUUCCAGGCCAGCAGCGCCUGAGAGUCUGCCCUUCCUGAGCACCGAGGGCUGAGUGCCGCGUGUCCCUCCUCCCUGCGUCCUUGAGUAGCCCUCAGCCGGCCAUCUCCUCUCCUACGGGAACAUUUUCAGUUGUUGUGCUGGAAGCAGGGUGCUGCCAAGCAGCCUACAGCAGACAAGGCGCCUUCCUCAGCCACGCGGCUUGGGACAGCCCCCGCUCAACGUCAGCCUCUCAGGAAAGCCUCCUGGUCCUGGAACCCGUUGGGCUCUGCCAGACCGCAGCCAUGACCUGUGACCGCCAGGCCACUGUUCGCUCUCUCUGGGAAGAUGGCUCCUGGAGGACCUGCUCUCCUGGUCAUCAUCCAUCUGACAGUGCUGCCGGGGGACGUGCCAUUCACCUGUGACAUCGACUCCAGUGGCACAUGUGGCCCUUGGUGCCUUCUUCAACCUGUCAAUGAAUAUCUACCACCGGUUUCUGGAAGGAAGCUUGCUGAUAACACUGUCUUUCUUUUUUUUUUUUUUCUGUAAAAUCAAGAUCCCCAGUUACCUAGAGAGCAGAGUGAGAACCUGCAGGGCUGCCGUGACCAGCAGCACCCUGGGGCAGCCGCAGCACCCCUGGGCCCCACGUGCCCUUCCAUGCUGGCCCUAGCUCCUCACAGCAGAAACCACAGGUGGAGGUACAGGGUGACCAGGAUCUGUCCAGGAGGUGAGAAAAAUUGGGCAGGAAGAAAAGGAAGGAGAACAGGAUUCAAAAAUUAAGUCAUGAUGUAGUUUCAUGGGCACACCAAGUAAUCUGUUUCUUGAAUAUAUUUGGAAGCAUCUGGUGAACAUACAGAUGCUUCAGUUCUUUCAACUAAGAAAAUCUCUGCUGUGGACAUACACCGUGUUGUCUUUCCUGCCGUAGUGACAGACCACCCUGCUACUCACAGCUGUGACCCACGGGGCAUCUCUCCCUCUUCUGGGUACUGGGACCGGCACACAGCUGCCCCUGGUAAUGGGCUCCUUCACAGAGGUUUCCAAAUCAGAGCCUUUAGGAAAGGCACCUUGUCUCUUGGACCAUGAGCACAGUGGGUGUGAGCCCAGAGCUGCUGUUAGUGUGCGCUGUCAUGCGGAGCAGCUGGCCUCCAAGAACAGGCAGAGGUGGGUGGGAAGGAGGCAGGGGUCCUGAGGUCUUCUGGCCUUCUGUGGGGAGCUGCCUGGUCCCUGGAAGCCCUGCUGCACGGCACCUUGUUAAACAUCGACGCUCAAACUCAUCUGAACCAGCUCCAGCUUGACUGAGUCCCACUGGCCAGGCGUCCCAGUGCCGAGCCUCUGCCGCCAGUAGCCAGCUAUGGCAGAGGCCUCUGCAGUGCUUGCUGGUGGUCAACUUGGACCAUUUCCCACCCCUGUGUCAUUGGAGUUUGAAACGUCCUAGUUUUCUUGUCUAUGAAAGUGGGAUGAGAAGUAGCUCUUAGGUACGAUGCCCCUCAGUGGUGCUCCAGAUGGAAGCAGCUGCAUGGGCAAAGUGCUCUUGUCACGGUCAUCCGUCCUGUGUCACCGGUAACAGCAUGGCGCUGUAGGAAGCCAUGUGCAGCUUACCUGCUGAGUGGGUGCAGGGAGCUGGGCCUCGUGGGGUGCAGACUCCCAUUCUCUGGAGGAUGACCCGCUUCCAGUCUUCCAGAUGCCCCAUGACCCGCUUCCAGUCUCUGUCCCAAGAGGACUGUCCAGCUAGGCAGACCUGAAGCUCCUCAGCACAGCCCACGACUUCCGUUAAAGACUUCUCUAACUAACUGAGGAGAAAACUUGGGCUCAGGAAGCAGGAUCUCCAGGCUGCAGUGGACACUGGUAAAACCAGGUGGAAUUGGCUCCUGAGCUCCUGGACGAGCCUCAAGCGAAACACUCCCCUGGGGUGUUAGGAAGCUUCAUGAGGGACUCCGCCAAAGCACAGUCCCCGUCCUCCUGUACCCAGAGAUGGUGACAGACCCACUGGCGCCCACGUGCUGGUCGGAGGACAGGGCAAGGGCGCAUGGCCCACGGGUCCUUGCUGUUCUGAGUUGUGCUAUCUGUGGUCCUCUGACUUUAGGAAGGACAGAAGGUGAUCGAGAUUUACCAAGCUCAGUUUCACACCUCUUGGCAAGUCGGAGCUUUUAUGACUUGCACACGCAUGUAACACACGUGCACACACACUACAUCUCAGACAGACUUGGUUGUGAAAGUACUUUGUUAAGAAGUGCGAUAGUGGGCCAGGUGCAGAGGCCACACCUGUAACCCCUCAGGGAGGCUGAGGCAGGAGGAUUGAAGUUUGAGGCCAGCCUGGGCAAGUUAGCAAGACCCUGUCUCAACAUGAGAAGUAAACGGGAGUCACACUGGGUAGCGGAGUGCCCCUGCUCCACCCUGGACCAGGAGAGGUGCCCUGGAGGAGCCACACAGUGGCUGACAGUCCAGCCCCGAAGCUGCCCUGGAGCCCAUUCUCUGGACAUGGGGCUUCCACGUGGAGCUUCCUUGUUGAAGUUCACUUCCCAGUCGAAAGGAAAAGGGUGAAGGACGACUUCAUGUUGAGUAAUGCAGAAAUGUGGUUGGAAAGUAUUCAGUGAUGGGAACAUUUCAAACAAGUACUAACAUCUGGCAGGAAGAAGUUUAGCGACCUCUUGAAUUCACUUCUAAUUUUUAACUCCUUGGGUUCCCGAAUCUUUCAUCCUCUUAUCUCUGAGACUAGCCCCACAGGAAGACAACAGCUGACUCUGGGCAAGUAAUAUCCCUGGUGUCUGCAUUCAAUUGCUUUCUACAAGUUUUGUUCUGUUAAUGUUUCAGAUUCUGUGUGUGUGUGUGUGUGUGUAUGUGUGUGUGUGUGUGGGGGGGUGUGGUGCUGGGGUCAGAUUCUUUUAAUUCUGAAUGACUCUCUUUAUCAUAUUAGAAUAGUUCUGAUGUGAUAGAAAGAAGCCGUGUCCGUGGCUGAAAACAGUGCUGACAUCCAGACCUCAGCCCCGGGCACCGGACAGACAGUAGGACGUUUGAACCUCCUGAACGCGGCCCUCCUCCAGGAGGGCGCUGGAUACCACCGCCUGCUGCACGUGAACACGUGUAAAACUGAGUUCAGAAACUUCAUGAGAUGCUUGCCCUGUGACUCACAUUUUCUGAUAUUUUAUUCUAUUUCAUUUAAAAAGCUGCUGAUCAUAGCUAAGCAAAUUGCUUUCUAGCCCCCUAAACAAACACAACUGUAGUUUGAAACACAGGGAGCAAGAGGUCUCACUGGAAGGAGCAAUGUGUACUGUGCUCUUUGAUUCAGAAUGGAAAUUUACUUCCAUCCAGGCAGGAAAAAAAUAGAUUAGGUGUGGUUUAUGUACUAGUUCAUUUUCUAUUUCUAUAACAAAAUACCUCAGGCUGGGUGAUUUACGGAAAAAGAGGUUUAUUUAGCUCAUGGCUUUGGUGCUGACAGUAUAAUCAGGCAGCCUCAUCUGUUCAGCCUCUGGUGAAGGCCUUGUGACUGGUGGCAUCACAGUGGUGUCACAGUGAGGUGACAUGGUGGGGGGAAGAGGAAUCGCCUGGCUAGACAGGGAGCCAGGGAGACUCGGGCCAGCUCAGCUGGUGGCAGGGCCACUCCCCACUCCUCGGGAGCUAGCUGGAAUCCGGAACCACAAUGACCCCUGUGUGAGGAGGCGCCCUGGCCCCUGGCCUCCAUCUGCCCCCCUUGCAAAGCUGGCGCCACACUGAGGGCCAGACCCUGCGGACACGCCCCAACGGUAUCUGAACCUGUGGACGUGGCCGCGUGGGUGUCCUGGCACUGCCCACAGGACUUGGCCUGUGGCUCCUCGUCUUGCCAGUGUGGUCCUAUCCACGUUCUCCUUCUCUGUGGUGGCAGGCACAGAGGACACAGGAGUGCCCUGCUUCUGACUGGGAUCCUGGCGCCUGGCUGGGUCUUCCUGAGGCUCCGUCUGACCGCCACACCCUCCCUGGAGGUCAGCUGGCUCCCUGCUUUCUCUAUGCCUCUGCAGAAUUGCUCUGUCACAGGGCCCGUGUGUUCUGCUGGUGACCGAGGGCAGAGACUGAGGGGAGCAUCCUGUGUGUGCCAUCCAGGUGGAGGCUGCCGGCGGAGGCCAGAAGGCGGGACUCGACCCUGGAGCCCGCCUGGCCUGUGCUGACUGUGCUUGCUCCGGCCUGCUACCCUGGCCUCCUUAGGACCCGUCCCUCUCCCUGGGCUCCUCUGCGAGCCAGCAGUGUCUGGCUAAAUCUCCAGUCAGCAGUUUAGGGAACAACACUGAUUGGUUUUUCCUCCUUGACUUUUUCGUCCUGUUUCCUGAAACGUCUCCAUUGCCUGAGACGCUGUUGAAGUGGGUUUCAAAGCACUACACAACACAGAACGAUAAGCACAUUUGUAUUUGGAUCCAGAUUUCAAACUCUGAGAAAUAACUUUCUUGCCUUUC